UCCCCUGCUGACACAAGCAUUAAUUAUUAACUUCACGAUUAAAUUUGUAAGCUAUAUAUAAAUUACACAAAAAAUAAUUUUAUCGUUAUUCUAAAGUUUCCCUUUAAAAUACUAAACUAUACUUCAACAAUAAACAACAUCCAAAUUAUAGAGCUACAAUACAAUCAAAUCUAAAAUAAAUAAAAUAUUAAAUUAUAUCGUACCAAUUUCGAUAAUACAAAAAUAUAAUACACUAUAAUAUUUAAGAAUGAAGCUUCUUAC
rnacentral:lncRNA from 1 species